UACAGAGGGGGCAAGCGUUAUUCGGAAUUAUUGGGCGUAAAGGGCGCGUAGGCGGCCAUUCAAGUGACGGGUGAAAGCCCUCGGCUUAACCGAGGAACUGCCUGUCAGACUGGACGGCUUGAGACCGGGAGAGGUGAGUGGAAUUCCCAGUGUAGCGGUGAAAUGCGUAGAUAUUGGGAGGAACACCUGUGGCGAAGGCGGCCCCCUGGUUGGAUACUGACGCUGAUACGCGAAAGCGUGGGGAGCAAACAGG
rnacentral:rRNA from 1 species